rnacentral:rRNA from 1 species
CCUACGGGUGGCAGCAGUGGGGAAUAUUGCACAAUGGGGGAAACCCUGAUGCAGCGACGCCGCGUGAGUGAAGAAGUAUUUCGGUAUGUAAAGCUCUAUCAGCAGGGAAGAAAUAAAGUCCUUCGGACUUUGGACGGUACCUGACUAAGAAGCCCCGGCUAACUACGUGCCAGCAGCCGCGGUAAUACGUAGGGGGCAAGCGUUAUCCGGAUUUAUUGGGUUUAAAGGGAGCGUAGGCCGGUCUUUAAGCGUGCCGUGAAAUUUUGUGGCUCAACCAUGAGAGUGCGGCGCGAACUGGAGACCUUGAGUGCGCGGAAGGCAGGCGGAAUUCGUGGUGUAGCGGUGAAAUGCUUAGAUAUCACGAAGAACCCCGAUUGCGAAGGCAGCCUGCCGCAGCGUUACUGACGCUGAAGCUCGAAAGCGCGGGUAUCGAACAGGAUUAGAUACCCCGAGUAGUC